CUUUCUCGGCUUGGUUUAUAGGUUCUUACAUUGUUUUUGACAUUUGUGAAUGCCAAAUGCAAAGACCAACCAGCACCCAACCAACACAAUAGACACACUGCUCUGAUAGUGAUUUUAAAGACUCACUUGUUAUUUCAAAUGUUAUAUUGGGCUAUGAUUUUGAAUGUAAGCGAAAAAUUAUAAGGUAAAUUAUAAGUAACACUUGUUAUUUCAAAUGUUAUAUUGGGCUAUGAUUUUGAAUGUAAGCGAAAAAUUAUAAGGUAAAUUAUAAGUAUUGAGUAUGACUACUGUUUCAAUCAAAAUGGUCAACCCAAAACACACAGG
rnacentral:lncRNA from 1 species